UGGGGAAUAUUGCACAAUGGGCGCAAGCCUGAUGCAGCGACGCCGCGUGGGGGAUGAAGGCCUUCGGGUUGUAAACUCCUUUCAACCAUGACGAAGCAUUAUGUGACGGUAGUGGUAGAAGAAGCACCGGCUAACUACGUGCCAGCAGCCGCGGUAAUACGUAGGGUGCGAGCGUUGUCCGGAAGUACUGUGCGUAAAGAGCUCGUAUGUGGUUUGUCGCGUCGUCUGUGAAAUUCCGGGGCUUAACUCCGGGCGUGCAGGCGAUACGGGCAUAACUUGAGUGCUGUAGGAGAGACUGGAAUUCCUGGUGUAGCGGUGAAAUGCGCAGAUAUCAGGAGGAACUCCGAUGGCGAAGGCAGGUCUCUGGGCAGUAACUGACGCUGAGGAGCGAAAGCAUGGGUAGCGAUGAGGAUUAGAUAGUCUGGUAGUCCAUGCCGUAAACGGUGGGCGCUAGGUGUGGGGGUCUUCCACGACUUCUGUGCCGUCGCUAACGCAUUAAGCGCAUCGCCUGGGGAGUACGGCCGCAAGGCUA
rnacentral:rRNA from 2 species